rnacentral:rRNA from 1 species
UACACAAUGAAUUGUAAAAUUUAAAGUGAUAUGAAAUCGUAGCCACUAUUAACUUACGUUCCAUUGGACUUUUUUGAGGAUAAGCUCGAAAAUUGUUGUUGAGAAUUGUAUGAUUUAAAAUUGUUAUGUAGGCCUAAAAUUAGCCACCAUGAGAGUUUGUUAUAAAAUAAUAGAGAUAUAUAAAAACAUUAUUAUACAUAAUACCACAUAAGACCAUAAGAAUAAUAAUUUAAACCCAAAGAUUAAUAUACAUAUGCUAGGAUGAGUAUUAAAAUUAUUGAAAUCGAAAAAUAGAAAUAUUUCCUAAAGUAAUGUUUUUAAUAUAAAUUAAAGAGAAGGAAUUCGGCAAAUGUUGUUCCGCCUGUUUAUCAAAAACAUGGCUCUUUGAUAAAAGCAUAUAAAGAGUCGAACCUGCCCAGUGAAUAAUUUUAACGGCCGCGGUACCCUGACCGUGCAAAGGUAGCAUAAUCAUUUGCCUUAUAAUUGAAGGCUGGCAUGAAUGGUCUGACGAGAGCAACACUGUCUCCUCUUUAUUAUCUAAAAAUUAACCUAUGGGUGAAGAGGCCUAUAUUAGAUUGAAGGACAAGAAGACCCUGUCGAGCUUAAAAGAAAAGUAGAAGUUAGCUAUCAAAAGAAAUCAAUAAACUACAUAGCUUUUUAGUUGGGGCGACUAAGGAACAAAUAAAGCUUCUUUUAUUUUUAUAAAUUUACAGAUUUGGAUCCAGCAAAGCUGAUUAAAGGAAUUAGUUACCGCAGGGAUAACAGCAUAAUCUCCCUUGAGAGACCUAAUCGAAAGGGGGGGUUGUGACCUCGAUGUUGGACUAGAAUAUCCUGAAGAUGCAGACGUCU